UUGAGUAGUUUUUCAUUGGUGAUCAUAAGUACAUAACAAUUUAGUCCCUCAUAUUGGUUCUAAAGAGGGUUAUAAUAUGGCGUUCUUUGGAGCCAUCACUUCGCAUUCAUAUAGCCUUGUUGAAUACGCAAUGAUCAUUGGUACACGACAUUAAUUUUGCUAUGUGUACGGGUGGUUCGCGUCUGUUUGUAUUUAGCCGUUAGAUCUCCUGGGUGAUUUGAACCGUCAAAACGCGAGGAAGAGAAACUAAGGGGUUUUUGGAAACUCUAAACUUAGAAUCUUAACAUUUUCUACAAACAGGCUUGAUCGAGACUUUAUUCAAGAGUGGUUCGCACCGAGUAGGGGCGUGUUCAUCCAAGCGAUCAAUCAGGAUAGAUAGAGGUUCAAGCCAUCUGGAAAAGCUUCGCGCUAGUAGUUCCCUGGUUAUCGAAGAUAUUAUAACCGUGAGGAACAUGUUUCGAUAUUGCUUAGAGGGCUUUAGCUUAGUGGGUAUAGGUGAGGUAACAAUAGGGAAGUUGCCGAAGCAUUAGGUGUGGACCUUGAUAGAUGGACAUUGCCCCAUGAACCAAUGAUGCCAAUGAUGACUUGGUUUUAAUCCUAACAGGAUUUAAAGAGAAGCCCAAGAGUUUCUUUUACAAUUACUAUAGGGCACAGCUCGCAGUUUAGGAAGCGACUUUGAGGAGAGUACCAAUAUAUCGCGGGAAAUUAACGAAGCUAUGGACCUAUGAAUUGUUCCAAGGGACAUGCGCAAGAAGUGCAUGACUAAUAUGGGGGCUAUUAAUGUGAUCAUCACAAGUUUGAUCACUUCACCACUCUAUUCAAGAUAUUUCUCCGCAAAAAUAAACACAAGAGAGUGUGAGCUUAAACAAGUUUAGUGAGUAAUCAAGAUGCUACAACAAACCACAAAUUCAAGAGUUAAAAGCAAAACUAGUAAGCACAAAUACACUUAUCAUCACCAAUCAUAUAUUCAUGUUGAUA